UGGCUCAGGAUGAACGCUAGCGACAGGCCUAACACAUGCAAGUCGAGGGGCAUCGCGGGGAAAGCUUGCUUUUCCUGGCGGCGACCGGCGCACGGGUGAGUAACGCGUAUGCAACCUGCCAGCAAGCGCGGGAUAGCCUUCCGAAAGGGAGAUUAACACCGCAUGAGGCCGCUUAGGGCAUCCCUUUGCGGUGAAAUGAGAAGCUUGCUGAUGGGCAUGCGUCUGAUUAGGUAGUCGGUGGGGCAGCGGCCCACCGAGCCGACGAUCAGUAGGGGUUCUGAGAGGAAGGUCCCCCACACUGGUACUGAGACACGGACCAGACUCCUACGGGAGGCAGCAGUGAGGAAUAUUGGUCAAUGGGCGAGAGCCUGAACCAGCCAAGUCGCGUGAGGGAAGACUGCCCUAUGGGUUGUAAACCUCUUUUGGCGGGGGAUAAAGUGCGGGACGUGUCCCGUAUUGCAGGUACCCGUCGAAUAAGGAUCGGCUAACUCCGUGCCAGCAGCCGCGGUAAUACGGAGGAUCCGAGCGUUAUCCGGAUUUAUUGGGUUUAAAGGGUGCGCAGGCGGCCUGUUAAGUCAGCGGUGAAAUCUCGGGGCUCAACCCCGGAACUGCCGUUGAUACUGGUAGGCUUGAGUGCGGAUAAGGAUGGCGGAAUGUGUCAUGUAGCGGUGAAAUGCUUAGAUAUGCCACAGAACACCGAUUGCGAAGGCAGCUGUCCGGGCCGUGACUGACGCUGAGGCACGAAAGCGUGGGUAUCGAACAGGAUUAGAUACCCUGGUAGUCCACGCAGUAAACGAUGAUCACUAGCUGUAGGCGAUACACUGUCUGCGGCCGAGCGAAAGUGUUAAGUGAUCCACCUGGGGAGUACGUUCGCAAGAAUGAAACUCAAAGGAAUUGACGGGGGCCCGCACAAGCGGAGGAACAUGUGGUUUAAUUCGAUGAUACGCGAGGGACCUUACCCGGGCUCAAACGACGGUGGACCGCGGCGGAGACGCCGUUUUCAGCAAUGACCGCCGUCGAGGUGCUGCAUGGUUGUCGUCAGCUCGUGCCGUGAGGUGUUGGCUUAAGUGCCAAAACGAGCGCAACCCCUGCCGCCAGUUGCCAUCAGGUAAUGCUGGGGACUCUGGCGGGACUGCCACUGUAAGGUGCGAGGAAGGUGGGGAUGACGUCAAAUCAGCACGGCCCUUACGUCCGGGGCCACACACGUGUUACAAUGGGGGGUACAGAGAGCCGGCGCGCGGCGACGCGCGUCCAAUCCACAAAGCCCUCCUCAGUUCGGAUUGGAGUCUGCAACCCGACUCCAUGAAGCUGGAUUCGCUAGUAAUCGCGCAUCAGCCACGGCGCGGUGAAUACGUUCCCGGGCCUUGUACACACCGCCCGUCAAACCAUGGGAGUCUGGGGCGCCUGAAGUC
rnacentral:rRNA from 1 species